UUAUAAUGUCGAAAUACACUUGUCAUAUUCUGUCCCCACUAUUUGCUUGGACGUAUGUAUUUUAAAAUUACAUUACAGCCAGGCUUUAUUGCAUCAGGAUAAUACAGUGUGCUUGGAGGAAAAAUUAAAUAACCCCUCCAAAAUCCCAUCAAUAGUUCCUUUCCAGAUUCCCCCCUCCCGACUUCGAUUAUGAUUAUGAUUAAUCUUUUUUUUCUUUUUUCUUUUUUAAAUAUUAUUUCUAACCAGAGGCAGAAGGAACGAACAGAUCACCAGAUGGUCCCCUUUUGCAUUUGCUAUUUUUACGGGAAAGGCUUCUGCUGGAAGCAAUAUAUAACAAGGCUUCGCUCUGAAAUCCGGCAGGACUCUGCCCCCCAAGUUUCCAUGCGACUGGAUUCUCCCCCCUCCCCUUUUAAAACCACGUUUUGAAUGCAGAAUGGAACAAAUAAAUGAGAACAUGACUCCUGAAUGCAGAAAGAAACCCCAAAGAGCAACACUCCAUCAGAAAACCAGGAGGAGAAAGGAUCCUCAGCUUUUGAUUGAAGAGGUAGGGCAAGAAGAUGUAUCCUCCAAACCACCUCAGGAUACAGGACUGCUGGGAGUCAGCAUCCUCCUAAUUCCUAUCAAGAGCUCUUGAGAUGUCUCAGCAUAGUCAUGCUCCUGUGAUCUUGUAGCUUGCCUUCCAUCUCUGCCUGUUUUCUCAACUUAUUAACACUCAUGAAUAAAAGCAGCUGUGCCUUUACACUU